rfam:Dictyostelium discoideum AX4 chromosome 2, whole genome shotgun sequence.
CAAAAGGUGUUUUUUAACACCAUACAAAAAAACAAAAUCAUAUAU